UUUGGCACCUCUUGAAACCAUAAGGUUUAACACUUUCAAGAGAAUCUCAAACUGAAGCAAAGCCAAAUCGGUGUAGCAGCCUCAAUGACUGCAAAUUAGAGUUGUCCAUGUGUGAACAGAAUCUGCCAGUGUCAUAAAACCAGGGUGGCAGAAGAAGCUUAUUCAUAGAUACCAUCUCAACUAAAUGACAAUGCCAGACUUCUAUGUUAUGGAGACUGUAAAUGCAAACAAACCGAAGUUGAAGCAGUCUAUCAAACCCUAGAUUUCCCGCCUCCAGUCGCUGUCUUCGCUUCUUCUCCUUCCCGCUGCUCUUCUCCAUCUCCGCGAUCCCCUUUUCCCUCAAUUCUCUGGAUCUGACUUCGGAGUCUCCUUAUACAACUCUUUUGCAAAUGUAUGCAAAGUUUGGUGAAGCAGACCCAUCUCCGCUACUAUUUGACCAGCUUCAUCCAAAGGAUCUUAUUGCUCGGACUGCAAUGAUAUCUGCUUAUUCUCAAAGUGGGUACACGAGUGAGGCUCCCAAUAUAUUUAAGCCAUAUGCAAUUAGCAAACAGAAACCUAAUGAUAUCACUUUUUUCAGUUGCUAUUUAAAUAGGGAUGAUGUAUAAUUUUCUUUUGUCAGUUGCUAUUUAAAUAGGGAUUACGUAUAAUUUGUCUUUAGAUGAACUUUGUGAACAGGUUUUUUGGCAUAUUAAUUUUGGUCAUUAGUUGUAAUAAAACAAUUUAAAGUUCUGAUAUUAUCUCGCACGCAUCGCGUGCAUAUAA